rnacentral:rRNA from 1 species
UACGGGGGGGGCAAGCGUUGUUCGGAAUUACUGGGCGUAAAGGGCUCGUAGGCGGCCAACUAAGUCAGACGUGAAAUCCCUCGGCUUAACCGGGGAACUGCGUCUGAUACUGGAUGGCUUGAGAUUGGGAGAGGGACGCGGAAUUCCAGGUGUAGCGGUGAAAUGCGUAGAUAUCUGGAGGAACACCGGUGGCGAAGGCGGCGUCCUGGACCAACACUGACACUGAUGAGCGAAAGCCAGGGGAGCAAACGGG